GGGUGGGGCCGGGGGGCGGGAGGCACACCUCAGGAGCGGGGGUCCUGGGCCGAGGAGGAGGAGGGCGCCGAGAAGCGGGAGGAGGCCGCUGGGUUCCACUGCAGAGGUGCUCGGAAGACCAGUGAAGGAAGAGGAAAGUGAUGCAGUGAAAACAAGACAACCAGUGGUAUACUGUCAAGCUGGUACCUCAGCAGGUUAUCCGUCUUCUUACUGAUCUGUAGAAAAACAACCCGUUUUGAUCAAAAACUCCUCUAUAUCCUGGCUUCUCCAUUACCUCUUUGGAAUGGUCCCUCAGAGUUAUCUAACAGGCUGCUGUUCUGGAUUGUAGUUCUCAAUAAGGCCCUGAAUAAAAUAUAAUUCUCAGUCUUCAAGCCUGAAGAUGACUGAUCCUUUGAAGAGAAGGUAGUCAUCAAAGAAUACACAGCCACAGACUUGGAGAGGCAGAGAACUGCUGUAUUUAUUACAAAGCCAAGUGUAACAGAAUACCUAAGCCCGCCAGGCUCCUCUGUCCAUGGGAUUCUCCAGGCAAGAACACUGGAGUAUUUUAUAGAUGACAUAUCUGAGAGGUGGAGCUCUCUGCCCAGGGUGAUACAGACAUCUAGAAUAUGGUGGAUCAAAGAAUCUAAUGAAAAAAAUGCUACUUACAAGAAACUCCACCCUUGGAUCUUGGUUAAUUGUAGUCUGUAUCCCUAGUUCACUUUUGCUG